rnacentral:lncRNA from 10 species
CUGUUGUCAUGCACAAGGAAGGACACAGCCAAUGACAACCCUCAGCCAUCCAGGGAGAAGCUGUGUCUGCAGAGGACGGUCAUGAGCUGUGAGUCUAGAGACCUGUGAUUGUCUUCAGGGGCCUGUGGUCCUCGGCUUUCAUAGGAGUUGUGGGGGCACUGGCUCAAAUAGCAUCCACCAGGAUUCUAAUCAGAAUAUCUCAUUCACAGAAGGCAGUGGGUGAUAUGACAGUACAGAGGGACUCUGUGGGGCCAGCUGCAUGGAGCACUCUGGGAGAGUCACUGGCACCCGUGCUAGACAGAUCUUCAUUCAACUUCUGGAGCACACGGAUUUAGAUCUCUCUACAUCAUUUUGAAAGACCAUUUAUCAUUCUGAAGGAAACCACUGUAAUUAACUAAGGUGUGUUAAUAAUUUCAUUUCCCAGAAAAUGUUCUUUCAUAUCCAUCUUACAAGACGAGAGACUUUUUAACAUCUUCCAUUCGGAUGUGAUACCAGUAAUGGAAAAUAUUCCAGCUUCAUGAAUAUGCUGGACGCAAACUCUGCACAAUUUGGGCCAGAAGUCUCGUGUUGACUUUGCAGCUUAAAGUAUCUUGUAGUUUGUCUAACCCUCAAUAAAUUUGCUUUCAUCAAAUAUUGUAUUUGUUACUCCAAAAUUACCAUCACGUUUUUUUCUCCAAAUAACUAACAUUGGGAGAAAUAGCCAGCUGAGUCUGUAACUCAACAGAAACAAGUGAUCCAUAUACCAUAUACCAUAUAAGUGGCCAUUUCAUUUUGCCUUCUUCCACCAAAUCUUAGCAACCUUAACCAUUGCCAUGAGCCACUGUAUGCCUACCAGCUACAAACAAACAAGUAUCUUUUAAAAACACUACAUACUCCCAUUUGAUAAAUUUCCCAGCAAAGAGAUGCCUACUUUAACUCUAUGCAAGUGGCUCAUAUGCGCUAAGUCUGUAGAUAUUAUUCAUGUAGUGUGAGAAAAUCAUCCCAGCGAUGCCAGCACAUUCUCCUUCCCCUGAUCUGCUUAGUUUGCAAACAUAUUCAGGCCAUGGGUGAGAGAUUUGUAUUUCACAGUACAACAGUUUUAUGGAGGGCAUUGAAACUUACAUUGAGCAUUUUAGUACAGCCACACAUCACUGAAUGAUAGGGAUACGUUCUAACAGAUGCAUCCAUAGGCAAUUUCAUCAUUUUGCAAACAUCACAGGGAAUAUUACAAACACCUAGAUUGUACAGCCUACCACGUCUAGGUUAUAUGGUAUAGCCUCUCUCUCCCAGGCUACAAACCUGUGUACUACCUUACUGUACUGAAUACUGCAGGCAAUAAGAACACAGUGGUAAGAGGUUAUGUAUCUAAACAUACUUAAACGUAGAAAAGUAUGUAAAAAUAUGUAUUAUAAUCUCAUGGACCACUUUUGUAUUUGUAAUCCAUCUUUGACUGAAAUGUUAUUAUGCAUGACAAGAC